UAUGUACAUGAUUACAACGUUAAUGCACCAAUCCCAUCAUAAGUCCGUAGUUAAGCAUGCUUGGGAUAGAGUAGUACUAGGAUGGGUGACCUCACGGGAAGUCCUAGUGGCUUACAUGC
rnacentral:rRNA from 1 species